UGCAAAGAACUUUGAAGAGAGAGUUCAACAGGGCGUGAAACCGUCCAGGAGCAAACAGGUGGAGCUGCAAUGUAGCCUGUAGGAUUCAGCCUGACCUUGGAUACUUAGUUAGAGAUUUGAUCGUAUGACAGUCUCGAAGCUAGCCUUGAAGUCCUUGUUGGGUGCAAUUCCUGCAUGUGAGCGCUACGACCGGUUAUUACGCUGCUGGACUUUACCGAUUGCCGACUGAACCUUCGGGUUCAGUGCCCCGUUGGUGAAGCUUGGCUGGUUGUGGUGACCGAAGAUCUGCUGCAACGGCUUGUCUCAGCUGUCACAGUUCCUCUGGGGAAUGAAAUUCCGCGCCCUGCUUGCAGGACCUGGUAACCCUACCCACAGGAGCUGUGGUUGUCUGCUCAGUUGCAAAAGGUCUGUGGCGUCCGUGUCAGCCUCCCACCUGACCCGUCUUGAAACACGGACCAAGGAGUCUAACAUGUGCGCAAGUUAUUGGCUUGUAAAGUCAUGGGCGAAAUGAAAGUAAAGGUAAACGUUGUUUACUGAUGUGGGAUCUGUGUUGCUUUGGCACGGCGCACCACAGCCCCGUUUCAUCUGCUUGUCAGGGAGGCGGAGGUAGAGCGUACAUGUUGGGACCCGAAAGAUGGUGAACUAUGCCUGAGCAGGGCGAAGCCAGGAGAAAUCCUGGUGGAGGCCUGUAGCGGUUCUGACGUGCAAAUCGAUCGUCAGACUUGGGUAUAGGGGCGAAAGACUAAUCGAACCAUC
rnacentral:rRNA from 1 species